CUGAAACUCAAACAUAAAGUCAAAGUCAUACUUAAAACUCAAACCAAACUAAAAGUAAUCAUACUUAAAGUCUGAAACUGAAACCAAACUAAAACUCAAAGUCAUACUUAAACUCAAACUGAAUUUAACUAAAACCUGAAACAAAACCUGAAAAUCAAAUCAAACUGAAACUUAAGCUGCUUCAUCAUCUUCAUCAUCAAAUGUUUCAUCAUCAACAAUUGAUUGAAAAGAAGGUAACGUCUCAUCUUCACCAUUAGAGUCUACCACCACCACUGCAAAUUUCAAACAAAAACAAAGUUAAUACACAAUUUUAGAUUAUGUAAUUGAAUAACUUGUGAAACAUAUUUGUUUACCGUUUUCAUAUGCUUCGAAACCUUUUAACCAAUUGCGGCUGCAUAUUAAUGCUUGAACCGUUUUUGGUAGGAGAAAACUUCUAUACUUGUUCAAAACUCUAGCUCCAAUGCUAAAAGACGAUUCAGAGGCUACUGUUGUGAUUGGUAUACUAAGGAGGUCACAAGCCAUGGAAGCCAAUUCUCCGUAGCGCUGAGCGUUAUCUUUCCAAAACUUUAGAAUAUCUAAACUCUCAAAGUUCCUCAUAUCUAAUGCCGGUUCAUCAAGAUACAUUUGCAGAGAAGACUUUCCACUAGCAACAACAGUCUCUUUGCGAAAGGCGAAGAAAUCCUGCAAUUUCAUUAAACAAAACUUGUAUAUUUUCAAAAAUCAGAACUUCCAAUCUGUUAAGAACUAAAAGACAGAGAAUUUCAUUAUUUGAAAAUCAAAACCUGCAAUUUUAAUAACAAAAACCUGAAACUAAAAACAUAAGAGAUAGAACCUGCAGUUUUCAAAAGCAAAACCUACAAUUUGCAAAACCAAAACCUGAAACUUUUUAAGAGCAUAAGAUAUAGGUAAUAUCAUAAUUUCAAAUGCAAAACUUGCAGUUUUCAAAACCAGAACGUGCUAUUUUCCAAACCAUAACCUGAAACUUGUAAAGUUCAUAAGAGACAGAGAAUUUACGAGUACUUACAUCAUAAUUGCCAAAACUUCCUCUUUGUCCUUCAUUAUCAUCUCCCUGGUGAUAUGUUUGACGUGUUUC
rnacentral:lncRNA from 1 species